rnacentral:lncRNA from 1 species
UCCUUGAAUGAUUCUUAAUCAUUGAUCAACCACAUGAUCAGUCAGAAACUUCUUUUGAGUGUGACCUCAUAGGUUCGAACCUAAGUCGAUAGCAUAGAAAUAUCUUUCUAAAUCAAUUGAUUUAACCAUCUAGUAAUGAUGAUCCGAUGUCCGGAUAGAUCGAAUGAAGGUGAAGCAACAUUCAAAAAUCUAUUGACGUUUAGUUACCGUAUAAUUCAUCCCUUUGACCCUAAUACUCAAGGAUGACCUAGGAUUUAACUGUCAAUCCAAGAUAAGUCAUCUAUAUUAUAUUUUAAUCUUUUUCAAAUCCAUCAUAUGGAUAUCUAGACUCAGAUUUUGCUAAAUUGAAAUACAUUGAUGCAUAUCUCCUAC